GCUCUUGCAGUUAAAAUUGGCCCAAUGAGCAUCACCAGAGUAGACUUUGAAGCAGAGGCCGAACAAGAGCACAGUCAGCAGAAUACGUGAUAUUGAUGGUGUUGAACUCUGUCGUUAAUUAAUAGCUGCCUUUCGCUUUCCGUUUUUGAUCCAAACGUUGUCGAUAUAGGUAUGUAAAUUAUUUUCUGCUGGAUCUAAUUUCAGUAGAUAUGCCUAACGACCUACAUGAAUGAAUAUUCUAAUGCACCUAAAGGCCUACGUGAAUGAAUAUUCUAAUGGUUUUGUAAACUUGUCUCAAGACUCUUGGACUCGAUUGCAACAUAAAUGUGCCGGAAAGGAUGGCCAUGUUAGAUUCAAAGUGACUUCCAUAUUAUUGUUAACAUGUUUGGUAAGAUGGACUACAUGAUACUAGAAAGUAUAAUUGUUUGGGGUAAAGAAGAUAUGAUUCUGACAUGUUUAGUUUGAUGGGUUGGACAAUAAUAGAUCAUGUAAAUGAAGUUAUAAACUUGUUAAAAAACUAUCCAAUAUUUGUUCGGUCGGUUUCGGGGCCACGGUUAGUAUUGGAUGGUGCAAACUGGAUUUGGGUUACCUGAAAUUGAAUGCAGAUGAUAUAGUCUCUGUCGAAGAGGAUUUUAUUGAAAUGGGAUUCAUCAUGAGAGAUCAUAAUGGUCUGGUCGUGGUGGCCAGCUCUCGGCAGAUUAGGGGCCUUUUUGACCCUGAAGUUGCUGAAUCAAUUGCCCUGUGUUAUGGUCUCCAGUUGCAAAGGAAAAUGGCUUCAUGGAUUUGGAAGUUGAGUCCAAUGCUCACAGGGUAGUUCACAGUCGAAACCUCGUUUCUUUAUUGGCAUCUAAUGCUGCUAUUUUAAUGGUCCAUUUAAAUGGUUUUUACUAUGGUUUUGGUUCAUACUUGUCUGUUAUGUCAUUUUGUAGAGUGUCAAUGUAAAUGCCUUAAGAUACUUUUGAGCCCUUGCUGAUCUGUCAUUUUUUAUUCAUCUUGCAAACAUUUGCAAGAAGUCUGCUCUUGCAGUUAAAAUUGGCCCAAUGAGCAUCACCAGAGUAGACUUUGGCCGAACAAGAGCACAGUCAGCAGAAUACGUGAUAUUGAUGGUGUUGAACUCUGUCGUUAAUUAAUAGCUGCCUUUCGCUUUCCGUUUUUGAUCCAAAUGUUGUCGAUAUAGGUAUGUAAAUUAUUUUCUGCUGGAUCUAAUUUCAGUAGAUAUGCCUAACGACCUACAUGAAUGAAUAUUCUAAUGUACCUAAAGGCCUACGUGAAUGAAUAUUCUAAUGGUUUUGUAAACUUGUCUCAAGACUCUUGGACUCGAUUGCAACAUAAAUGUGCCGGAAAGGAUGGCCAUGUUAGAUUCAAAGUGACUUCCAUAUUAUUGUUAACAUGUUUGGUAAGAUGGACUACAUGAUACUAGAAAGUAUAAUUUUUUGGGGUAAAGAAGAUAUGAUUCUGACAUGUUUAGUUUGAUGGGUUGGACAAUAAUAGAUCAUGUAAAUGAAGUUAUAAACUUGUUAAAAAACUAUCCAAUAUUUGUUCGGUCGGUUUCGGGGCCACGGUUAGUAUUGGAUGGUGCAAACUGGAUUUGGGUUACCUGAAAUUGAAUGCAGAUGAUAUAGUCUCUGUCGAAGAGGAUUUUAUUGAAAUGGGAUUCAUCAUGAGAGAUCAUAAUGGUCUGGUCGUGGUGGCCAGCUCUCGGCAGAUUAGGGGCCUUUUUGACCCUGAAGUUGCUGAAUCAAUUGCCCUGUGUUAUGGUCUCCAGUUGCAAAGGAAAAUGGCUUCAUGGAUUUGGAAGUUGAGUCCAAUGCUCACAGGGUAGUUCACAGUCGAAACCUCGUUUCUUUAUUGGCAUCUAAUGCUGCUAUUUUAUAGGGCAUCUCAGCUCUUUUAGUUAUUCGCUCUGGACAGUGUUGCUACAUACCUCGUUUGGGAACAACCAAGGCUCAUGGGAUUGCUCAUUUUAUUAUUACUACCCCACGGUCUUAUGAUUAGUUUGAUUGUACUCUGUUUGAUUUUGGGAGGUAGUAGUAUUGAUCGACGUAUAUUUUUUGAUCGAAUAGCUUCCUGUGUCAUCUAUGGUCAGUCUCUUUUCGAGAGAAGAUUUUGUACCUUGCCUGAUUCUAAAGAAAUUCGAGUCAAUUAUCAUAUUUUGUUAGGUUCUUAGAAGCAAUUGAUGACCCUUUUCUUUGCAUUAGAGUUGGUGGAUUUAGUUGUAGAUAUACCGACGUGUCAGGUCGAAGAUUGUUCAUGUCCAUACGAAAGAGGCACAAUGAUGGGUUGAGGACGAUGAAAGAAUGCCGGGUGGAAUUCAAUGAACAUGAAUGCUAAAGAUUCACGGAGGUCUCAAAAAAUAGGGAAAUAGUGUGGUACGGGCUUUUUAGAUAACGUAGUCUUCUACUAUCUAUGUAUAACUUAUGCAUGGGAAUUUGAAGAACACUUUGAUAAUCAUAGUCCGACUUGCAUGUGUUAAGCACGUAGCCUAUAGCUUCUUAGCUAGCUACUUUAUUCAUAGGUUAUUGCUGAUGACAUGACAUAACUAAAUUACAUCUCUUUUCAGGAAAAAAAAAUCCACUAUCCAAUAUCUCCUCUUAGCUAGCCACUUUACUCGCAGGUUAUUGCUGAUGACAUGACAUAAUUGAAUUACAUCUCUUUUCGUCAUGUUCCAUGUCUAUGUUGAUUCCUUUGUCUUUGUGUCUUGACAAGUCCUUGUUGCUGCCUUUGUGUAAACACGAUAUUGUCUUGGUUUGCCUAGUCGUGUUUAGUAUUUUACGUCAAAUAUGUCAUGGAAAAUC
rnacentral:lncRNA from 1 species